GUCAAAAAUUUAAUAGUCCAAUUUUCAAGAACUAGAUAAAAAUGUUCGACUAGUAACGUUUUAUCACAUUAGUUAACAUUUUGAAACUUAUAAUAAUAAUAAUCACAUUGGGCAAAAAAAUUCUAAAUUUAUUAAUGAAAUGAAUUCCCAUACUUUCACCUCAUUCACUCGUGUUGAUGCUCGAUUAAUUAACCUAUAAAACACUCUCAUAACUAUCAUUCAUAUUGAGAUUCGAUUAAUCUACGAAUAAAACGUGUUCUAUCAAAAAAAAAUAACUAUAGGAGCUGACUCCUCCCUUCCUAUCCAUAAAGGAUAGUUCUUUGCUGGACUAUUUUGUUACUAUCCAAACUGAAGGUUAGAAAAAAUUAGGGAUUUUAAAUUGAGAAACAAAAAAUUGAAAUUGAAUUACUUUCUCUCUCUAAGAGCAGGCAUUCACUCUCUUUCUCUCUCUAUUAUUCUUUCUUUAUGAAAAUUAGGAGUAAUUCUUGAUCUUUCAACUCUUAGUAUCCCUAAUUUUGCCCUAAUCUUCCUAUCAAUUUGAUUGAAUUCUAGUAACAAAAUUUAAGAAAGAAUCAUCAUAAAGCUAAUAACUUUAGGAGGGAAAAAAGAGAGAAAGAUUCUCCAUAAACAAAGUGAAAUCUUCUCUUAAUUGUGUGUCUCUUUCAUCAGUUUGUCUGUUUCUCAGAGGGCCUUCAAAUUUCAACCAUGUUUUUAAUGGGGUAAAAAUCUCAGAUACUCAAAAAAGAUAAUUGAGCCAUUUGCAUUUUGUCCUCUUUUUUUUUUUUUUUUGUGAAAAAUGUUUUGCAAUAUCUCCUGUUAGAUGUCUAUUUGCUGGGCAAAAAUAAGCAUUGUAGCAGUAAAGAACAAAUUUUGGCAGCCAUAUGGAGGAUGAUAAUAAAACCACCUACAAACACAAGGAUUAUUACAAGGUUCUUGAAGUUGAAUAUGAUGCAUCAGAUGAGAAGAUCAGAUUAAACUAUAGGAAACUUGCACUGGUUAGUCAUCCAUAUUUCAUCGAGCAGCACCUGCUACAGCUCUAUUUUUGAGUUCUCUCUAUGUCUCGUCCUCUCUCUUUGUGCAAGCUUGCAUUUAUUUAAGGGAGCGUGUUCCUGACUGCAGUCAUAUCAUUCACGUUGAUUGAAAUGCGCAGAAGUGGCAUCCUGACAAACACAAGUGUAAUGAUGCAGCAACAACUAAAUUUCAAGAGAUUAAUGAAGCUUAUUCGGGUCAGAGCAAUUAACAGAAUCUAACAAGUUGACGGACAAAUGAAAGUCGGUGGUCGUCUUUUUUCUCGUCUUCACACUCAUCGUCUUUCCUAUGGUACCUUUCUUACCCCUCCCAGAUGUCUAUGGUAGUAAACCUUCUGUUAUCAAUGAGAUUCAUGUCUAAAACUGAACAUUCAUCAUCUCGCUCAAAGGUUUUCCAGACCAAACCAUAUUGUAUGUUAACUGAACAGGAUAUCUGUACCAAGUAUGUCUAUGCGACUCAGACAAAUUUUACAGUGAUCAUGAUUUUGGUAUUUACUGAGAUCUCUUGUAAAAUGUAGUUUCUGAAACAAGGUUGUAUCAAUUCACAUGUAAUAUUGAAGAUUGAAUCUCACUGAAGAAGACAUGUUAACAAAAUUUGUUAUCAGAAGCUACUUUUUUUUAGUAUAUAGUAAGUAGUCUUUAAUUAUAUGUUACUUCUUAGAAAGGAGUUGUAUUAGCUUCAGUCACUCGAAUUUUUGACACUUUUUUUGUUUCUCGUUAAAUGACAUUUUCUUUUGAAAUUCUACCUUAACUCACUUUGUAGGACUAUACUGAAUAUGUACUUUUCAUUAAAUGAGUGACAUUUUCUUCUCGAAAUCUUAGCUAUUGUUAGCAAGAUAUUGAUAAAUCUCAAUAUUAUUAUUCGUCCAUAGGUCAAAUCGAAUAUGUAGUUAUUGAAAUAAUUUUUAGAGAUUCAAAUAAUGCAUAUGUAAGCAUGAUGAUUUGAUAACAUAACUUAUAGACCUCUUCUAAUGUCUCCCCC
rnacentral:lncRNA from 1 species